GUAGUCCACGCUGUAAACGAUGAUCACUAGACGUUAGUCUCGCUCUGCGAGAUUAGUGUCGUAGCUAACGCGUUAAGUGAUCCGCCUGGGGAUUACGGUCGCAAGAUUAAAACUCAAAGGAAUUGACGGGGGUCCGCACAAGCGGUGGAACAUGUGGUUUAAUUCGACACUACGCGAGGAACCUUACCUAGGUUUGACAUGCAUAUGACCGCUCUAGAGAUAGAGCUUUCUAGGGGUAACCCUAGACAUUUGCACAGGUGCUGCAUGGCUGUCGUCAGCUCGUGUCGUGAGAUGUUGGGUUAAGUCCUAUAACGAGCGCAACCCUUGCUAUCAGUUGCUACUUCGUAAGA
rnacentral:rRNA from 1 species